rnacentral:rRNA from 1 species
UGUUCCUACGGGGGGCAGCAGUGGGGGAUAUUGCACAAUGGGGGGAACCCUGAUGCAGCGACGCCGCGUGGGUAAAGGAGCGUUUCGGCGCGUAAAGCCCUAUCGGCAGGGAGGAAGAUGACGGUACCUGACCAAGAAGCCCCGGCUAACUACGUGCCAGCAGCCGCGGUAAUACGUAGGGGGCAAGCGUUAUCCGGAUCUACUGGGUGUAAAGGGAGCGUAGACGGCAUGGCAAGUCUGAAGUGAAAGCCCGGGGCUCAACCGCGG